rnacentral:rRNA from 1 species
AGUAAAAGUCGUAACAAGGUUUUCCGUAGGUGAACCUGCGGAAGAAUCAUUACCGAGUGCUUGAACCCUCUGGGUUCGACCUCCCAUCCGUGUCUAUCGACCCUGUUGCUUCGGCGGGCCUGCCGUCUGGCUGCCGGGGGGCAACCCUUGCCCCCAGGCUCGCGCCCGCCGGGGACUCAAACACCGAACGCUGUCUGAAGGUUGCAGUCUGAGUCUGAAGUAUAAUCAGUUAAAACUUUCAACAACGGAUCUCUUGGUUCCGGCAUCGAUGAAGAACGCAGCGAAAUGCGAUAAGUAAUGUGAAUUGCAGAAUUCAGUGAAUCAUCGAAUCUUUGAACGCACAUUGCGCCCCCUGGUAUUCCGGGGGGCAUGCCUGUCCGAGCGUCAUUGCUGCCCUCAAGCACGGCUUGUGUGUUGGGCCGCCGUCCCCAGCGAUGGGGAUGGGCCCGAAAGGCAGUGGCGGCACCGUGUCCGGUCCUCGAGUGUAUGGGGCUCUGUCUUCCACUCUGGUAGGUCCGGCCGGCGAGCCAGCCCGACUUCUCAACCAAUUUUUCUUCUCCAGGUUGACCUCGGAUCAGGUAGGGAUACCCGCUGAACUUAAGCAUAUCAAUAAGCGGAGGA